rnacentral:misc_RNA from 1 species
CGAAACAUCUCUGCAAAUGAGCAAAAAAUUUGGUACUGUGUAACGUCCUACACAAUUUAGAUAAUAGUAGUUAAUUUUCCAACGUCUUCAGUGUAGUCAUAAUUUCUUUUGUACUCUUCAAUUGGACAACAACUUGUUAUCACCCAUCGUGAAGUGCGAAUAAGUUUUAUUUACACAGAGUGAGCCUUGCUCGAAGAAAAAUCGUGUUUCAAGUGUUAACCAAUUUAUUUAUGAUGGUUGUGUGGAUUUAUAUUUCAUUGUUGAUUUUGUCAUAGACUCGAUGAUCAUUUCUAUUUAUGGGUGGAUUGAAGUUAGUGAAAUACGUUUUUAUGGUAAUUGAUUGUGGAGGUAAUUUUGAACGGAAUUUUCAAAAGGAAGUACGGUGACUCAAAGCCUACUUUAUCAGCGAUCCGACGCAUUUCAAGAACUCAAGGAAGUAAUAAAACUACGAGCGAAUAAUCAGCCAGUGACAAUUGGUGCAAAACAUCGCAGAAUCAGUUUUUCUGUCGUUGGGACUAGUGCAAAAUGAUUUCUCCGUGGCAUCAUCUCCGGAGGUUCGUGCCGAUGUUGAGCUGGUCCGGUGAAUACAACAUCGACAAAGCCAUUUCGGAUUUGGUGGCUGGGAUCACGGUGGGACUUACUUUGAUACCGCAGUCCAUAGCAUAUGCCUCUCUGGCGGGGUUGGAACCGCAGUAUGGCCUAUACUCUUCCUUAUGUGGAGGUCUCAUAUACGCUGUAUUUGGAACCAUUCCGGAAUUGAGUAUAGCCCCAACAGCUUUACUCUCCCUGCUGACGUAUUCCUACACGAAAAAUUUGAGUUUCGGGAAUUUACAAGGUGCCAUUUUACUGUGUUUCCUGGCAGGAUGCAUAGAAUUACUUUGUGGCAUAUUGCACUUAGGAUUUCUAGUGGACUUUGUAUCAUCGCCUGUAGUAUCAGCUUUCACAUCAGCAUCAGCUAUUACCAUAGCUUCCACGCAGGUAAAGGGUCUACUUGGACUGAAGUUCGAAGCAGAAAACUUUUUCUCCAUAUGGAUGAACAUUUUCAAACACAUUUCAAAGUAUAAAGUGUGGGAUGCCGUUUUAGGUUUGUUUUGCUGUGCCAUACUACUGCUCAUGAGGAAACUGAAGGACUAUGGAUCCCCACUGGUGGAAGAUAAAGACCAGAAGAGACAACCCCUGGGAAGGAAAAUUAUAUUUCUGCUCUCUGUGUCGAAAAAUGCAUUGGUAGUUGUGGGAUGCGCGGUUUUGGCUUUUAUUUUGAACCUGCACGAUCUCAAACCGUUCUCAUUACAAGACAAAAUCGCUACGGGUUGGCCUAAUGUAUCCAUUCCAAAGUUCAGCGUGGAACAAAAUAACAAAACAAUUACUUUCAUCGACAUGGUGACCGAAUUGGAAACCGGUAUUAUAUUCAUCCCCUUCAUAGCGAUUGUGGCGAAUAUUGGAAUAGCGAAAUCUUUUGCACAUGGUAAGGUGGUAGAUGCAACCCAAGAAAUGAUAGCAGUAGGUUUGUGUGGUAUCGUAGGUUCAAUGUUUUGUUCUUAUCCGGUGAACGCUUCAUUCUCCAGAGGAGCUGUUGGGAGUGCCAGUGGAAUCAGGACCCCACUCGCAGGUGUAUAUACAGCUAUCAUGGUAUUUCUUGCCUUCACAUUAUUGACGCCUUACUUUCCGUUCAUCCCGAAGCCUACAUUAGCAGCUGUGAUAAUAUGCGCAGUUAUUUUCAUGGUUGAGUUGAUGAUUAUACGAAAACUCUGGAGAAUUAACAAACUAGAUCUGUUCCCUUUCUUCAUAACUUUUUUUACAAGUCUCCUUAUUGGAAUUGAAGUAGGCAUCUUGGUUGGGUUGAUGGCUGAUAUACUGAAAGUUUUAUACACUUCGUCGAGACCCCGGAUAUUAGUGGAGAAAAUCGAUGUCAAUUCUUUGGAAAGACAUGUGAAAGUAGCUUUUGGGUCAGCGAUGCCGUUCUACUCGGCUGAAUAUAUCAGGGAAACAGUUUUGAAGGAAGUCGAAAUGAAAGGGAAGAACUGUCGAAACGUUGUCAUAGAAUUAGGAGGAAUCGAUGCAAUGGAAUAUACUACGGCCUUAUGUAUAUGCGAACUGAUUAAAGACCUGAACAAAAAUCAGAAACAAGUUUUUCUGUUGAACCCAAGAAAAAAUCUGUCGGUGACAUUGAAAUACAUCAAUGGAAAUGGGUUGCGAAUUAUCAACAGCAUUGGUGAAUUGAGAAGUUUUACUGGAGAUACCAGUGAAGAUCCACACACUUGCUCUUUUUCUAUGGCCAUAAGAGAUGAAGAGAGCGGGGAAGAUGCCGGUAAAACAAAUUUGUAAAUACGGAGUGUAAACGCAGAAAUAAUACGACGUUUGGGUGUGUCAUAAACCAGAAGAAAAAUAUAUUGUUUUCUACAAAAAUUGUAUCAGUUGCCUAGUGUAACCUUUAAAAAAUAAAAAUUCUAAAAUGUUCGGCUUACUUACUAACUAGUGUGGAAAAGGAUAUGCAAUCGUUUCUCAAUGUUCAAUGUUUACACAACCUUAUGAGGAGUCCAGGAUGUCGUUUGC